GGUAAUUGGGGCUAAGUCGUAACAAGGUAGCCGUACCGGAAGGUGUGGCUGGAACACCUCCUUU
rnacentral:rRNA from 1 species